rnacentral:rRNA from 1 species
UAUUGGACAAUGGGCGAAAGCCUGAUCCAGCAAUGCCGCGUGAGUGAUGAAGGCCCUAGGGUUGUAAAGCUCUUUUACCCGGGAAGAUAAUGACUGUACCGGGAGAAUAAGCCCCGGCUAACUCCGUGCCAGCAGCCGCGGUAAUACGGAGGGGGCUAGUGUUGUUCGGAAUUACUGGGCGUAAAGCGCACGUAGGCGGCUUUGUAAGUCAGAGGUGAAAGCCUGGAGCUCAACUCCAGAACUGCCUUUGAGACUGCAUCGCUUGAAUCCAGGAGAGGUCAGUGGAAUUCCGAGUGUAGAGGUGAAAUUCGUAGAUAUUCGGAAGAACACCAGUGGCGAAGGCGGCUGACUGGACUGGUAUGACGCUGAGUGCGAA